UUUCUUCCAGAUGGGGCGGCGCUGCGCGUGCCGUCUCCUGUCUGUUUGCUUCUAAUCCUCGGAAUGCAUCUCUGGCAGAAGGACCGCUGUUCUCCAACCACGAAUCUCACACAACCUCUCUGGACCAGUCGCAUCUUAAACACAACAGGCUCCAUCGGUAUUCUAAAUCAGAGACAAAAUGGCAGAAGAUGGAGGCAGAAGGGAUAUUAGGACAUGGUUUACACUUCUUGCUGCUCUGCAGGUUUCCAGCAUUGGAGCAGUAUGCCCAGAUAAAGAGUUGGGACUUCGACUAUGGAUGCCAGGACAUAGUGAAGACCACCGUGUUACAAUUGGUUUUGGACAGAAAAUCCUUCUUACAACUUCAGCUACAGUUCACUCAAUUGAGAUUCUGAAUGGAGGAAAGCUGGUGAUAGCGGACACCAACCAGGCCAUACUGCUUCGGACCAAGCACAUUCUGAUUGGAGACAAAGGGGAGUUGCACAUUGGAAGUGCAGACUGUCCCUAUAAGGGCAACCUCACCAUCUCCUUGUUUGGAAGGUAUAUUUGGUUAAAUUUGGUUUCAAAACAUUGAUUCCUGACAUAACUACAGUACACAAUAGGUGUUAAUAAAUCCAUACAGCAUGCUGUGAAAUAUCUUACCUGUUACAUUUGCAAGUUAAUCUUUUACAUAUAGGAAGCCAUUAAUAGUUCCAUUCUUUAAUCAAAAUGGUUUUAAUGAUUGUUUUGAGCUGGUGGUCUGUUUUAUUCAUAUCCCAAGACAAAUUGUUUUUCAGCAAGCACCAUAAAUUUACAGAAACUCUGUUGAACCAUCCACAAAAUACAUGGCAUUAUUUUUGUUAAUACCACAAGUAACUGGUACUAUUCUGCAUUAAAUUGCAUUGUGCUCCCAAAAUAACAAGAAUAUAAAAUGCAUAUCUCAAAAACCUGAAAAGUGGUCCUGUCUGGGUAUUGACAUGAUACCAAGACGAGACCUCUAUGCCCCAUGGGGAGGAAGAGCAAACCUUCGACAAACAAACUCUUAUAUGACGAAAGUAGUGAAACUCUCUGCAAUCUCUGAGACAUUUAGUGAGACGUUUUUGCCUUAUGAACCAAUGUUGAGGCAAAGAAGAUAGGCAAAAUAUUUCAAACUGGCCAUACAUCAGGUAUGUGGAGUCAGUUGCAGGAAGCCAGAGAAAUUGACAUUAAAGCCCAAAUAUCUGAGGAGCACUAAGUUGGAUUUUGAGGGGAGGGAUUCUUUUUAUCUUCAAUAUCCCUUUGGCUAUGUGAUGGGUUUCUGGUUUCUGGUAGCUGUUGAAAUUAUUUUUUAUUUAUUAAUAACAUGGUACAAUAUUAAAGUUUAAUCUUGGUGUU